GGAGGAACGGCAUCGACAGUGUCCUGCGGAUCUCAAGCCCCCGAAAGCCCGGAUCGACGGAUACACUGAUUAUAGGUUAGUUUUCCAGUAAAAUUAAAUUUGGUGUAGCCGAGUCUGUGUCUUAAAAAAUUCUCAGAAAACUUUUUCGGCACUUCGAGGCUCUAGCAAAUUAGCAGAAUUUUGUGUUGUCAAGCACAGAGAACCUUCCAAGUAUAAUCUUUGGCUAAACCAUCUUUAAAACAAAUAUCAGAACGUGUCUUACAAUUAGAGUCGAUCAAUUCACCAAAUUACUUAAUUUGACCUGGAACUCACUUCUCAUAAAACAAAAAAGUAGCACAAAACCGAUUGAUAGCCAUCAUGCAAUUUCCAAACAAAUUAUUGAAUAAUCCGAAAAACAAACUAGUACUAUUUAACUGUGAUAACCAAAUAUAUAUUGGACCGCUCAUUGUAUUUUUGAAUAUGUUAUAGGUGGUUAGAGUAUAACAGUAGUAGACGUCAAAGCAACCUGAAUGAAGCACUUAAAUUCAGACCUUUUCAAUUUGUGAACUUCCGAACUCUUUGCAAUUGUGCAAUUGUGUAGACACACUAGCUUACAAACUUUUGUUCAAUGCUCAAUUUUAUUCGGUUAGAGAGUCGUCUCGCACCUUUUUUUAUUGAAAAAUAACCUAUUUAGGCAUCGCAGGAUUUGUUAUUUUGUUUUUGAGUGAUCAUUUCAUAGCUAGAUGACAAAUAUUUAUAUUUUUGGAUAAGGUCUAUUUAAUUUGUGUUUUGGUCAAGACAUUUACAACUAGUAAUUGUGAUUGAUUAGUAUUCGCAAAGGUUUAUACAAUAGGGUUGUAAAAUUGGACGUACCCCUCGUACUCUCUAUUUUUAUAAUGGAAACCAGGGGUGGGCUGCAAUUGCCGUUCGGCAAAAUUUUUUUGUCGACAAAUUCAGCAAACUGCCGGUUUGCCGAUAUGUUGGAAAUUUUCCAUUCCCGCAAUAUUCCGGUUUGCCGAUUUGCCGGAAAUUUUAAUUUUUGGCAAAUUGCCAAUUUGCCAAUUGAAAGUGAAAUUCUGACAUUUCCAAAAAAAAGUGCAAAACCACACUUUUCAAUUCCGGUAAAUUGCCGGUUUGCCGAUUUGACGGAAAAAGUUGGGUACCGCAGUAUUAUUUCUCCUCAUUUUUAAAAUAUAUUACAAUGGACAUCGCGUUUUAUUAAAAUGGAUAAACAAAUGAAAGUUUAAUUAAUUUUAAAAUUGAGUGGAUAAUACGCAAGCACCAAAAACUGUUUGCCGUUGACGUUCAAAACAAAAUCCCUAUUAUACCCUGUUUCCUCUAUUAGUCUUGCAUGUAAAACUAAUUUACAAUUGGCAAUUAGGCUUCCAAUGUUUGUAAAGGCUGUACGACUAACUGUAAAAUGCAUCAUAGCUUGGAAAAUAAUCAAUGUUCAAAAACUUAACUUUAUGUUAUAUAAAGCAUUACGAAUAUAACUUAGAAAUUUCAAAUUGAAAAAAAAAAGAAAAAAUUCGCCUUGAAAAAACCCUGUACAAAGAAAAAAACCAACCAGUAACAAAAAAUAAGAAGAAGAAUGAGCUCCCCUUCAUAAAUCGUCUUACUGUAAUUAAAACUAGAAUAUGAUGAAUAUUCAGGCACAUAUACAAUGUAGUCUGCCAUAUAGGGAAUUGGUUCCAUUUCUCCAUUAUAGGCCAUUCCAUGUCAUCGCUAACAUUAAUGGAGUAGAAAUAGUUGUUGUAAUACAUUUAAGUGUUAUGUUUCUUUAAAAAAAAGGAAAUGAAAUGCGGGUAUGGGUAACAAAAAAUAGGUUGAGUAUACUUUCUGAGAAAACGAGUACGCGCGCAUAAAGUUAGACAAGUUAAUCCAAUUCUGGGGUCAGAUUUAAUUUAGGAAAUGGAAUAAGUGACAAGGCGAUGUUGGUUUUUGAGCCUAGGCCUUGAUGUUUAAUAAUUGUUGCUAUAGUUCUAGUUUACUAAACUAUGUCUUUUGAAAUCAAAUAACCAGAAUCCACACAUAAACAUGAAAUAUCUCGUGAGAAUGUUUUUUUUUUCUCAAAAUCUAAAUUAAUCAGCAGAAUUUGUUUCUCAAACUAGGAUAAACAAUCAAAGCAUAGGAAAGUAGUUCUUUGAAAAACAUAUACUUGGUUUUUGGUAUUGAGUCGCAAUUUUAAUUUUUAAAUAGCACUGCAUAAAUUUCGCAAGUCAUUUUUAAGUUGUGAGAAUGACUGGUUUUUCAAAACUAUUCAAUAUAAAGAAUCCCUUCAAGUGUAAAAUUUUAAUCUUUUGAAUUAGUGCUCUCUUGAUUAGGUUAGUCAUUCUAGUCAUUUAUUGUGUUUUUCAAAAAAUAUUUCAACUAACUUAUAAAAUAUUAUUUUUAGGUGAUAUUGCAACGAAUAUGUUUUAAAACACAAAUAAAUCAAAAAGUUUUCAAAAAAUUAAUUAACUUCUCAUCCUUGUUGGUGGAAUUUUCCGCAAAACCUCCAGUACUUGUCGCAAGCAGUUCUAUAUUGGCUUUGAGCGGUUAAUAUAGGAUUGUUACAGUAAUUCAUUGCAAAUCCUUGAUAGCUACGACAAAGUUGAUUGACAGCACCGCCCGGGCCACGUUUACGGUGUGAUUUUCGUUGCGGGAUCACUGGCUUGUCGGGAAGCGGCACGUGACACUUUUCAGAGUAGACUGGACAGAAGACAAUGGCCUGUAAAAAAUAACCUAGAUUUUCGCAAUUUCUGAAAGCGACAUUUUUUUCAAAAUUUCAAAGUUUAAAUAAAGACAAAUUCGGCAAUUCGGCAAUCUGACGAUUUGCCGAUUUGCCGGAAAAUAUCGUUUGCCCACCCUUGAUAGGUUCCAUGUACUUUCUGUUUUCUAGAAUUUUUUAAAGAUUACAUGAAUUAAAAUAAAGUAGGCUAUUUUAUCUUGUGAAGAAGUGAGCAAAAACUAUGUUUCUGUUACUUUUAGAGUGUACUUUGAUCGAUAAUUUUUAGUCCAAAAAUUAAACUCACUUUUUGACCAAACCUGAACGGAUCCGGACAAACAUAAAGGUAUUGAUUUUUGAAUUCCUUGCAGAACCGUGCAAAAUUCGUCUUUUUGUGUGCAGAACCAGUAGUCUCCCCUCUCACCGCUGCUGCUGACUCGGGUGAGAUUGCGGCGGUACGAGGCCUAGAACAUAUUACUGAAAUUAUUAUUGGAAGCAUUGAUAUAAAAAUUCUUACCCAGUAACCUCUGCAUCUUUCGCCUUGUCAGGUUCACCUUCCGGAAUCGAAAAACAAAUAUUUUCGAAGGCAUUGCAAAAGUCCUUGUCUUUUUGCUCUCGUCGUUUUGUGUUGGCUCCUGUGCAAACCCUCACGUAUUCAUCCCUUAAUUCUCCGCAUGCUACCUUUAAAUAUUGUCAAUAUAUCAACUUUGGAGGCAACAUUCAGUUGUACGGCAAAUUCGCCGCACCCCCUUGAUUCAGUAUUCAACUCACUGUAUCCUGCUUUUUCUCGGCUUCACGAGAAGCUCUACCAAAAACUCCGCUGAACAGAAAUAACGAUAUCACAACUAUCCGCAUUGCGCUAAAAUUAUUAUGAUUGGCUUAAAAAUGUAAUUGAAGUUCAAAAUUGAAAAAAAACCUAAACAAUGUGGGUAUAUUUUUACAAUAAAUUUAGCUGAAUUUAAACAAAAAAACGUCAUUUGAAAACAAAUGUAUAGUAUAUCAAUUACGCAACAUACAUUUAAAGACACAAAAAUUGGCCAAAUUAGAAGCAAAACGAUAAAUGAUGGAGACGAAAAUGGAAAGUUUUUUUUGGUGGUGUGGGAAAUAGAAAAAGACCGGAUUUGAAUGACUUCUCUCUCCUCUGUUUUUUUGAAUGGUUAUCUCUUUAUCAUAAUCAGCGGCAAAGAUUUUCUCAAAGUUAGUUUUGAAACCGUUUUGUUAGAACUCUCACAGGCAAACCGGUUAGGCAUUUUUGCUAAAAUACUUCACAAUCCUCAAAUAAAAACGUUUAGGGCGGAGUAGCGCCAGUGGGCAUUUUGUCUAAAUACACAUAUAAUGAUUCAAAAUGACCAAAUAUAAUAAUGAAACAUUCCAAAAAAUUUCAUAUUUUUCAUAAUUUCCGGCCAAAGUUUAGGCAAAUUGUCAAAAUUUUGAAAACUAGGAGCUUUUGAGAAAAUCCAGAGCAAUACCGAAUGUUCCAACUCCUACAAUGUUUAAAUACAAACAAUUAAAAUGAAAUUACAGUACAAAAAAUGUAGGGAACUUUUUUUCGGUCGACUUCCAAAAUUAUGAGGGAUAAAAAAAACCUGAAUGUCACUUUUUGACAGUAAAUAAAAAAAGUUCAAAAAUGUUUUGAAAAGUUUUAUUAUGAUAUAUUUGGUCAUUUUAGCACAAUAUGCGUAGUUCGUAACACUUUCUCCACUGGCGCUGCUCCACCUCCAAGAGGUGUUCUUCUGCAGCAUUUUGAAAAUUUUAGAAGCCUUUAAAAAUGAGCAAACAAAAAUCUGCUAUUUUUUGAUGCUAUUUUGUUUCGACAUGUCUAUAACCGAAUUUUCAAAUGGAUGCAUGUCUUAAAGUAUUUUUUCAACAUUCAAAAAAUUCAACAUUCAAAAAAAAUUGACAGUUUAUGAUUUCAGUUCGAUUAUUGGUAAAUAUUUAAAAAAAAAACCACCUGUUUCAUGGAAAAAAAUGAGAAAAAAUGACCAUAUUUUCAAGGUUUAGAUAUUACAAAACCGGUUUCAUAAGACCAUUAGAAAAAUAUAGUACGGGCGGUAGACUGUAGUACUCGUGACUGAACUAAUUAAAAUACGUACUAUUAGCUUUUUAAUAAUAUUAUUUGAUUAUCAAUUUUAAUUUUGCUUCAAUUCAGUUGUAAAUUAUAGUUAACAGCUUCAUAGAAAUUUGUGUGCAAUUCCAAUGGAAAGCUGAUGAUACAUAUUUUAUACAUUUUUAUUCAAAGAAAAGCCAAAAUAAACAAUAAAAAAGCAAUAUUAAAUGCGAAAACUUGAGUGAUUAUUACUGAAAUACGUUGUGUGAAUUGAAUGAACUGCGUGGAUGGUAUUUAGAAAAAGGAGUACAAAACACAAAAAGAAUUGACAAAGAAAAGUGUAUUGUCGUCUCAAUUGAGUGGAACGAUUGUCUGAUGUAGAAGUUUAGUUGUUGUGGACGGGGUUCAAGUACUUAUCCUUGAUUUCCUUCAACCUUACGAGAGAAGAAGCGUUGAAUUUUGACAAAGUUCUGAAAAUUUUAAAUUUUUACUUAAAAUUGUGUGAAUGCUUUUGGAUUAUUUGGCAUGUCACAAACAUUUUUGAAUAUUUUUAAAAUUAGUUUAAGCUUUUUUACAAGUUUUUUACGACCAAGUGCAUUUUAAUCCCAAAAAUUGCAUAUAGAAAGUUAUUGUAAUGAUUCAAACUGAUUUUUAGUGGGUCAAAUGGAUAAAAUCGAAACCCAUGGCAAACUUCUAUAAAGCUCAAAAUUAUUCUUUCGUAGUAGCUCUUUAUGAUUAUGAAAAUCUGUAGUCACAAAAUUCACAAAAUUUACCUGUGGAGUAGUAGUGAAUCGAUGAGACAAUCCCUUUGGAAUCACAAUCAAGUCUCCCUUCUCGACCUGCACACGAAUCCAUGAGUCAUCCUCCGGCUCGACGUCAUAAUAGCAUGUUCCCUCGACGACCAAACUGAUCACAUCCUCUUUUUGUACUUGUGGCUCGUAGAAUUGUUCCAUCUUAUCAUCGAACUCGAGCAUUGUCUCACUGACAGUGAACAUAUCAGUGAAUGUUACAUUCUUCUCGGUUUUCACUGCAGAAAGGCGUUUCUUCAUCGAAGCGGUGUCAUCAAGGUCCACCUGAAAAUUGAGUUUUGGUUAUAUUUUUUUUAUUGAUUUUACCAAAGCAUACUCUCCCUCGAAGGCGGAGUAACGUCAGGUGGGAAUUAUUUGAAGUUUCAGAACUUUAGACUAUUUUGGAUCUUUUAAAUAAGGCUCCCAAAAAAAAUUAUAUAUAGACUUUUUUAAAAACAUCAUUUUGACCUUUAAUCAAAAUUGAAUUUUAGCGUCACUGUCCAUGAUCAAAAUAAAAUGUUCAAACACCAAAAAUGUUGUUUACAGGUGGGCAUAUGGUGAUUGUGGUUUUCAAUUCAUCCCCGCCACCGACCAUUCUACAUACCGAAACUUGUUGCAAAAAAUGUUUUUUUUUCACCGUCCUCCAUCGUCACCACCACCUCCCUUUCUCUAAUUGUUUUGUACCGAAAAAAAGGGAAAAUAGGAAUUUGCUUCCCUCUCUCUCACUUUCAAACUAGAUUUGAACAUUUUGACGGCUAGUGUCGGCUAGCCGUCGGCUACAAUUUUCAGCUACAAUGCUAGAAGGCUAAAACUGUGCGUGGGAGGAAGUGAGAACAAAAAAUGUUGUUCGUCAGGCGAUAAUGGAUGGUCAUGAUGAUGAUAAUACGACACUUGGAAGAUGAACUUUCAGAUAGCAAAACUUUUGGAAAAAAGAAAUGAACUUUACUCACAUCAGGCGAAAAUUUAUCCUCUAAUAGUAAGGAUAUAUAAUUUUUUUUUUGAAAACAACCGUGAAGUCCAACUUUCUGAACUUCGAACAACUUUUUUAGAAUAUGCCAGUAAAUAUUACAACUUUAAAAAAAUGGGAUUUCAGGCUAAAUUAUAUGCUUUCUGGGUGUUAAUAGACAUAACAAACUCAAAAAAUAAUGUCACCAAAGUUUAUUGAAUGAAAUUUCAGAAAGCACAUAAUUUUUCCUAAAGUUCCAUGGUGACCUGGGCUAUUCACAGUUGGAUUUCAUACUGACUUAACUUGAUUUCAUAUUAAGUCUUUUAGAACUGAAUUCCCAUGGUAUAUAAAGAACAUAACUAACCUUAUAAUAUUGAACUCCAGCGAGUUGCCCCAGCUGUGUUGUAGUGAUCUUCUUUGGUGGGAAGACGUGGUGUGGGAGACGACGAUCUCCGCAUGGGAAUGGUUCCAUGUGCCAGAUUUGCAUUUUGGUGGGAAGGUUUCAGUGGAGACUUGUGGAAAAAAAAACCUGAAAAAAUACAAUUUUUUGAGUUAGUUGUUGUUAUUGAGAACAAAAAAUAACAGUAAGAGGAUUUUAAUGGAACUUGGUAAUUUGAAUUCGAAUUUCCAUUCCAUUUCCGAUUUUUUCAAAAGAAAAAUAAACAGAUUGCGAAUGACAUAGAAAAGUGUUCCGAAGUUUUUUUUUGUGUGAGAGGGUCGAACAGGGAGGGAUUACUAUAAUAGUUAAAGACGGAUUAGGUGGUGAGUGACCCAGAUGUUUAUUUCAAAUUUAUGCAACUACCUACAUGGUUUCGAGUGUUUGCUUAUGCAAGGUAUUGAGUGAAAACUUUUAAAUGGCUAGGAAAGUGGAUCUGGAACUUUUGGAAAUACUUUUCCGGUUUGUUGAAAACCUAAAUACAGUCUAACGGAAACAUGUUGUUGAAAUUAGUAAUAUUUAUGUCAGGGAGUGGCAGUUUUUAAACGAAUUCUGUAAAACUAAAAUUGUUUUGGUGGCUUUGAAGCUUUACCAAAAGCUGUAUAACUUUUUCGUUCAUUAAAAAAUUUUCAGGUGAACACAUUGCUAGAAAAACCGGAAAGGAGUCGGGUGCAAAGGAGCGCCAAAACCAGAUGGACUACAGAGAUCGCAACCCUAUAUUGCAACAAAGAAAAGUUUGGAAAGCGGCGACUAAUUAUUCAAGUAAGUUUUUUUCUGAUUGGUUGAUGGGACUUAUAUCACAAAUGGCGAUGGUAUAUUUCUCCAGCUCUUUAAAGUUUUUUUACUGCCGACUUGAACCUCAAUCUCAAAGACUUUUGUAGACGGUUGUAAGUCUGUGUUGAAAUAUGAUAAGCGAAGAAUUUUUUAAAAAUAACUCAAAAAAAAUUCAAGAUGAUCAAAAUUCUGCAGCUUUAGUAGCCUACACUGCUUUUCUCAAAAUGCUAACAAAAAUGCAUUAGACAACGCCUUCAGGAGAGCAUCAGUAAACUGUGCAAAUGCAGCGAACCAGACGAAAAAUGAAAAAUGGUUGAGUCGACGCAAAACCUGAAGCCUUUUUAAAUCCGAACAAGACGAUUGGAAUCUUGAAAAAGAGUAGUGGGCGUGGCCUCCUCAUCUCUAUUUCUCCACCUUCUUCUUCUCAUACACAGAACGCAAACAACGGAAAGAUUAGAAAUCGGGUGGCUAUGGAGGGGGAAGAAGCGAGCGGCGGGAUGGGGCAAAAAACGGGAUGGAUGCGAAUUUCAGAUAAGAUGAUGCUGAAAAAUAUUGGAAAAGUCUCCUAUUAGCCAUGGAUUACCGGAUAUGUGUCUAGCAUGAUUUUGAUCAUAUCUUCGGAGUACUUACGCGGGAAAAAUCCAAAACAAGCAAGCAUAGCAACAAAGCAAGCUAACGAAUUUUCAAUUUUCGCUGUCUCCUUAGGGAUUUCUACAAUAGUUUGUUUAAUAUUGGAUAUGUGAAACGAUCUAGGCUAUUUUGAAUAUCAUCUGUGACCCCAAUCUUUCCUCUUAUGUACAAUCAACACCGAUUGUUGCAAUUUUUAAAAUGACUCAUUUAAAAUGUAAAUUUUUUGAAAAUUAACGUUACCCUAAUUAACGUCAUUCAAAAUAUGUUUUUUUAAUCACCGCGGUUCAAAUUUUCGUUAGAUAAUCUACAUCAUUUCAAAUUUAUUGAUGAAAAAGUUUUCAUCCGACAAUAAAUUAAGGGAAUAGCAUUGACCGAGGUAAGUGUAAAAAUAUAAAAAAUGCUUAAAGGGGGAGUAGAGUUUGUAGGUAUUUUGCUUAAAUAGACUAAACAAGGUUCAAAACUAGCAAAUUUCAGACUUUUCCUUAUCGUAGUUUAUAGACAUUCAAAUUUGGUUAUUUUUGAAUUCCAAUUGAAUGAAAGUGUACUUAAAUCAUCAUGCAUGCAUGCAUCCAAGUUAAUCAAACUGCAAAAUUACCUAAUUUUUGAACUUUAAAGUUUGAAGUCCCAAACUGACAUGGUUCCUCUACAGCGUGGCGCGCAAUAUCUAUUACACAUGCUGUUUUUUUUUUGAAAAAUUAUUUUCUUGACGUUUUUUUUUUCAAUUUUCUUGUUUAUUGCUAAUAGUAAGUACACCAUUUGAAAAUUCUCAAUUUCAAAAUUGUUUCCGAUCGAGGAAAAAUAACGAAACGAAAAAGUUAUAAGUAAGUUGAAUAGUAGACAGAAACAGAAAACUAACCAAUCAUCACCUAAAUGAUCAUUUCGUAACCAGAUUCAACUCUGUUCUCUCUCAUUAAAUUUUAAACGAAAUUCAUGAUUUUUCGGAAAGAUAACUUUCAUCCGAAGGCUUCAAUACUCAAUGAAAAUCUGAGACAUUAAUCUUUCCGAGAAGCAUUAAAAACACGACGAAGUGAAGGGUAAAAAAUAGCAGAGAGAGAGAGAGAGAGAGUGGUCAAUCAUCACACAAUAUGGGCUGAAAGUUAUGCGUUAUUGUUCCUCUUGACACGGUAAUUAUGUGAUGAAAACUAAAAGUUGUUCUGGGUAGAUGUGGAGGGUUCUUGAAAAAAAUAUGGUUAAUAAUAAACUUGGAAAAUAGUCCGAGGUUCGAGUAAUUGCACCGCUGUUGGGAUUUUGUGAAGAAUCCUAUUUGAAUCCUGCCCAGAGAGCAGCCUGGGGUCAGAGAUAGUUCAGGGCUUUGGCCCCUGAAAAGCAUAACACACUUCAUCAGUCAAUAUUCGUAGGACACAAAACAUGCGGGGGAAUGUACGAUAAUAUGUGAGUUAAUAAGGAAAAAUGCGAGCGCGGCAGCGCACACGUUUUGAAAUUCCUAUUUUACGUUCCAAAAGUGACAGUUUUUUUCUCAGUUUUUGUCACUCAUAAUUUUGGAAGUCGACCAAAAAAAUGUUUUCCUACAUUUUUAAUACUUUGAUUUAGUUUUAAUUACUUGUAUUAAAAUAUUGUAGGAGUAGGAACAUGCGGCAUUGCUUUGGAUUUGCUCAAAAGCUCAAAAUUUUCAAAAUUUUAGCAUUUUGCCAAAACUUUGACCGGAAAUUUUUGAGAAAUCUAAAUUUUUUUGGAGUGUUUUAUUAUGAUGUUUGGUCGUUUUAGGUCAUUAUAAAUGUAUUUAGACAGCAUCCCCUCUGGCGUUACUUCUCCUUCAAUAUUAGAAACUAGAAAACUGAAAUUCAGUUCCAACAAUUCAACCGUACACAUUUCCGUCCUGUGCACCUUUCAUUAAAAAAACUGCUUUGAAAUUUUUACAUAGUCAGAUUUUUUCCAUGAAUUUAAGUUUUGGAACCAUUACUUUCACUUUCAAACGAAUUCAAAAUAAGUGAUAUUCCUAAAAAUCUUGAACUCGAAAGUGAUUUGAUCUCUGAAUCCUUAAUUGUUUGUUGUCUUGAACACUUCCAGAUUGUUGAUCAAAAACAAUAAUGAUAAUAUAAAAAAAGUUUUUGAAGAUCACAUUCAAAGAUCAGUGAAUCAAAUAAUCAGAAACAACAAAAGAAAUUGAGGGUGUGGGAGGGAGGAGAAACAAUAGGAAUGUCUGCAAAAUUUCAAAGCUCAAAGAUAGAGUAAUGAUAUAGGGGCUUGUGAUUUUGAAUAGUGAACAUGGAACGUAAUAAUUUUUUCAAAUUGCAAUGAUUUUAGUGUAAGCAAACUAUAUGAAAAUAUCUUUUUAAAAAAACAGCACAAAUUAAAAGAUUUUUUAGUCUUGUAAAAAAUCCUCUAACAUUUUCGGCAAAUCUAAUUUCCGGCAAACGGCAAAUUGGCAUUUUACCGAAAAAGAGAAUUUCCGGCAAAUCGAUUUUGCCGAUUUGCCGAAUUUGUCGACAAAAUAAUUGGCGGAACGGCAAGUGCCGCCCACCCUUGCCUAAUUUUAAUAAUAUAACAGAGUAAAAUUGAGAUUAAAAAUAAACUUAGCACGAAAGUUGGUAAUUUUUUUCAUUUGCGUUGCUGUCCGAAACUUUUGCAAAAUUAAAAAUCAUUAAAACUUUCAAAAAAUUUCAGUUGUAUUUGGUUAGUACGGUUCAUUGUCUAUUUUUUAAAACAAAACCCUUACAUGACCACAUUUUAGUGAGGGUGAAAAAUUGGAGAUGAGCUCAAAGUUUUUGGAAAAUAGCAAAAAAGGCUCGGCUUGAUUGCGUAUUCCUAGCUAGCGAAUCUCGAAAAAUCUUAUACGGAAAAGUUGCGUAUCUCCUCUUGCAAAGCGCGUGUGCGCGGACAACGUUGACGGUCGUAUUAUGGAAUGCAAAUAUCGGAAGUCAUCUCCGCUUGUUUCUUCUUCACAGCUAACAAAACUGAUUUUUUAUGCAGAUAGCAAUCAGUCAGACGGCGGCCACUGCCAUUUUCAUCUCCCUGCCAACACAGGAAAAACCCGCUGGCCUCGCGGGCGGGGAUUAGAAAAGGAGGUGGUAAAUUGGACAUGUCACACAGACACAGAAGUGCCUAAGAAAUAGAAAAUAGUAUGAUAACAAGAUCUAGAUAUAUUUUUUUUGAUAGAUCAGCUGUUGUUGGCAGAAACUUGGUGUGGCAUGCAGAUUCAAAGAAAACUUGUUGAAAGUGAUGAUCUCCACGCUUACAUAAUCUUUGAUAACUGCGAGUAAAUUUAUUGUGUAACAUAGAAAGAGGGUAUGAUAAGAUAUCGGGAUCGAAACAAGAUUUUGGUUUAUUUUGAAGCAGCUGAUUUUUGGCAAAACAUUUUGCUUCGUUAGUGUUCUCUGAAAAUGUGGGAAACCUUAGAAAUCUUGGGUCAGAGCGGGAUAGGUUCUUAAGGUUCUUGCUUACUGUUAAAAUAUUGUUUUGAUAACGUAUUUAUUUACAUAUUAACUAACUAGUAAGUAAAACCACCUACGCACUUGAUCAAGGCACUUUAUAAGACACAAUACAAUAAACACUAUUGUGACUGGGUGGAAAUGUGCACGGUUCAUCUAAACCAGGGGUGGACCGCAAACGAUUUUUUCUUUCCGGCAAAUCGGUAAAUUUCCGGAAUUGACAAAUCGGCAAAUCGGUAAAUUUUCGGAAUUGGCAAAUCGGCAAAUCGGUAAAUUACCAAUUUUCCAAACUUGCUGAAAAUUUUUUCGCAAAUUGUGGUUUUGCACUUUUUUUUUGGAAAUUUCAGAAUUUCAAUUUCAAUCGGCAAAAUUAUACGCAUUCUAUGAAUGUUCUACAUCUAUUUUAAAAAGCAAGCGAAUUCUAUGAAAAUAUUUAAAGAAAACGGGAAAAAUUCCACAAAGACACUGCUCAAGUGUUUCCAUCUUAGAAAAAAAUCCUCUAAACAUUUCCGGCAAAGCUAAUAUCUGGAAAAUGGCAAAUCGGCAAAUUGCCGAAAAUGAAAAUUUCCGGCAAAGUGUUGUUCAUGAAAAUUUACAGAAAGAAAUUAGAAAUUUAGGGCUAAACUUUAGAAUUUAUAAUUCACAAGUUUUACAUUUUUUGUCGGUUGGUUCUAAUAAAGAAUUGGCACUUCAGGGCAGAAAUUUCAUAUUAAAAUAAUUAUAGCCAUUUUCUCGGAAAUCCCAAAACUCUAUAAUUUCAGUUUUUGCACUUAUACAAAGCUUUACAGCUGUAAAAAUCCAGUUUACGUCAGUUAAUUUUUGGGAAAAGUACUUGAAGGAGUAUUCUCCGAAGUACAAGCAAUAAGCAGCAAAAAACAACAUUUGUCCUGUUUUUGUGAACAUUUUCCUCCUGAUUUUUUAUCUGACUGUUUUUCAUUCAACCAUUCAUGACAAUUGGAGUAAUUUUUUACAACAGCCACGAGAACAUUUGACUGUGAAACGCAAAAACGACAAUGAUGCGAAGCUUACUUUCAGAUCUUCCAAAUUCAAAAAAAAAACCUCUUUCCAUUUUCAAAAAGUUAAACUUAUACAUUUUUCAGUCAGCAUCUUUUCAUUUGUUGAUAAUAAUUUGAUUAUAGCCUACUGAGCUAGUGAAGAGAAAUACUAUUAGUUAGAAAAUGGUUCUGACCGCUGCGUGUGGCCAAAAAACUCAUUUUCCCCGUUAAUCCAUAUAAUAUAUCUCGAAAUCGUGGCGUUUUUUAAUGGGAAAUUUUUUUGGCAUCGUGAAUCUUCCAAUUCCCAUCUCAGCCUGCGCAAAGCUGUAUAUAAAAAUUGUUAUUAUAUGAUUGAAUAUUCGCGUUUAUUUACAUCUAUUUUUUCACUCCUCAACUCCCCCUCCAGUUAUUUAUUGAACGUUCCUCGUGAUUAUACAAAUUUGAUCAGGACCAAGAACUUUAAUUAGGCUUUACGCAUAAUCCUAUUAAUUUGAUUAAUAUGCCAUUCUUUUAAAGCCAUGACAACUCAACUUCUUCCCCCAGCUGCCUAAAAGUACAAGUGUGCGCUGACAACUUGUGGAAAAGUGCAAAGAUAUAAUAAGGCUUGUGACAAGAGGAUAGAAAUAUUUAUCAAAAUGAGGCGGACAAGAGUCUGAAUAAUUAUAGGAGCUCUGAUUGAGAUAUUUAUAAGAAAGUGCAUAGAAUUUUCGAGCACUCUUUCAAGUUUUGAGGAUUUGUACAUUUUAGAUUUACUAGUGGACAUUCAUGUUCUUUUUAGUGUUCACUUAUUUUCAGCUUAACUCGUGCUCUUUUUUUUUAGGAACUAUCUUCCAGAUAAAUAGAGUAUCUGGUAUAUUGUUUAGCCUAUCAUCAAAUAAUCUACUGAUAAAGGAUGUUAGUUGUGUCUUAUAUAGUGCUGCUGAUCAAGGGGGUCAAGUCCCGUGUCCCGUUUGUCCCGUUGUCCCGUUGUCCCGUUUCUAAAAUUAUCACGGGAACGGGACGUCCCGCUGUCCCGUUUUUUUUUAUUUUCACGGGAACGGGACAAUUUCCCUCAUGAUUUUGUUUCAAAUUUUAAAGUUCUGUUUUUGUGUUUUGUACCAAGACUUAAAUUUAUGCAGAUUAAUGACUUACAUGCAGUUUUUUUUAUCAAUUUGCCUCGAAUACACUAAAAUUUACGCCAACUGCGCACUCUUUUUUUUAACCGCCCCGUUGUCCCGUUUUUGAAAUUUUUACGGGAACGGGACGUCCCGUUGUCCCGUUUUUAAAAUUUUCACGGUAACGGGACGUCCCGCUGUCCCGUUUUUGUAAUUUUUACGGGACAUUGACACCCUUGCUGCUGAUGUCGUAAAGAGUGUCGUAUACUUUGUUACUUGUCCGUUAUUUAUCCCGAAAAUCAGACUUAAAAAAUAUACUGUUGGCGUUUUUGUGCCGACGUAAAAACUGAGGCAUAAAACUCUAAAACUAAAUUUUCGACAUAAAACACCAUAACAAUUGCAGUUCGGCAAAUUUUUUUGUCGACAAAUUUGGCAAAUCCGCAAAUUAACGGUUUGCUGAAUUUCCGGAAAUUUUUAUUUUUCCCCAAUUCCCGAUUUGCCGUUUGCCGGAAAUCAGAUUUGCCGGAAAUGUUUAGAAUAGAUUUACAUGACGGAAACACUUAAAGCUAUGCCUUUUUGAAUUUUUUUCCCGUUUUCUUUAUAUAUUUUGAUAGAAUUUGAUUACUUUUCAAAAUAGAAUUUCGAUUUCGGAAAUUUGCCGAUUUGCCGGAAAAAAUCGUUUGCCACCCACCUCUGAUAUGUACCAUAUUUUAGUUCACUAUCAGUUGUCAGUUUUAACAUUAAUCUCACUUUCGAAGAACAUUUCCUGUAAAUCAAUUUGAAAAUGUUAUCACACUUUCAUUGAUAAAUGAUAAUUACGUCGUUCCCAUCAUUAUCUUCCUUCAUCUCAGUGUCUAUCUUAUUUAGUAUACAUCACACACUACCAUUAUCAUUCUCUGUGACCGACUUUUCAUUACACAUUCUCCUCUUCUGCCUCUUAUUCUCUACUACUACUACGAUGUCCUUAAAUUAUUUUGAAGUUCCUAUGAAAUAUUAUAUUCUGCUUCUAGCUUUUAUUCCACAUGUUCAUGGACAAACUCAAAUAAGCGAUAACUUCCCUGCGAGUGAUAUCAUUGAACUACCAGUCGGCAGGUGUGAGUCUUUACCGUUUGAAAAUUUUUGGCGAUUAUAUGAUUCAUUUAAAAAAAGAGUGUUAAGAAGAACAGUAGCAAAAAUCGUGUUCUUUUAUCAAAAUUUUAAAUAAAAUCUGGGGUGUUUUAUGACAAAAUAGCUAGGCUUAGUUCAAACAGUUCAAGACAUGUGAGAGUUUUUCGGUGAAGUAGUAAAAAAGUAAAAGAUUUAAGGACAACAGCUACUUGUUGAAUGCGUGCACUAUGUUAGGGACUAUUGUAAAAUUAUUCAUCAUAGAUUGAAUAAUUAGGGUUUGUGGAACUUGGUGUAGGUGACUAUAAUAUUUCAAGAGGUCAAGGGAUUAGGCAGAGGUACAUCAUGGGGAGAAGCAUAAGUAACUUUUAACCAAAUCAACGUUCAAUUAACAAUAUCAUCAUUUUUUGGUGGAGGUUUGGCUUUAAACUGUGGUUCCGAAUGGUUAAUUCUUUCAAAAUUAAUCAACGCUGGUCUAACAGUGGCUGUUUGUGUUGCACGAUCUGUAAAUUAUUAAAAAUUGUUAAAUGACAAUUUAUUUAGCUGUUACUCACAGUUAAACAGUCUUGCACAUGGCUCCAAUAAGAUAAGCGUUCCUAGGGUCUCAAACAUUGGGCUACAAAGAGCAUAGUCAAUGAAAAAUGCUCCAUAACCAUUUUUUCCGUUACCAGCCAAAACCAUAAACAUCACCACGACUACAUUGAAAUGUAGAAAUAUCAGUUGAGUUAUGAUUUGACAGAUAAGAGUCCACAAUAUAACACGCUCUUUUUUGAUUCGAUAUUCCGAUUGAAUUAUUGGCAUUAAAUAGACAAACUUUGCGCAUUUGUAAAAGAGUAACAUUGCCGUGUUGAGAUAAACCGUCUGAAAAAAGGGAUUUCACGGGAUUCUAACUGAAAAAAGAGAUUUCACGGGAGUCUAACUCGGCCUCACUUCAGACUUUUAAAUACAAAUUCAUGCUUAAUUUUUUUACAAGCUAAAUUUUGAGCAACAAAACACUCACUAGCAAGUUCCUUGAAUUGAGAUCAAAAAAUUUUCAAUGUUGGGUGAUAGGUUUUUCAUCUCCUAAAAGGAGCACGGCAAAUUUGCCGAAUUUUUCAAAUUUUCCAAUGUUUGUCGUGCUCGGCAAAUAUCCCCAUACUCUAACCCCAUUCCCAACUCCUUACAAUUAAAGCCAGCACAGAAUAGCUAGUCAAUUCAGAAAAGCAUAUCACUGAAUAUUCCAAAUCUUUGAUGCUGGAAGCUGCGUUCACCGUGUUAUUUUUGCCCAAUACGGUUAUAACAGCAUCUGGUAGAAACCAUAUCCAUCCGAUUGACAAUGGCAUCAACAUCCAUAUAAUAAUCUUCAUAGAUUGAAAACUAUUUCUUAUCGUUUUCUUUUUCUGAUGUCUUCCCAUGUUAUAAACGAGCGAAAUUGCAUACAUUGCUGAUUUAGCAGCAAAAAACAGUAAAACAAAAGGUUGAAUGCAAUGGAUAUAUGGCGCGAGAACUGACGAAUGUGGUUUUGCUCGAAUCGUGAACGAUCGGUCUCCAAAGAGGAAUUCCUGCAAAAAAUUAAUUAGCUUUGGUGACUUUACUUUUUUGUUGAAAUCUCAUUGAAUUAGUCAAGGCGGCCUAAUAGAUCAACUUAGUCCCCGACUUCUGGAUGGGAGCAUGGCAUUUAAAAGAAGACCUUCCUAAUAGACCCCUGCAAAAUAUUUUUUGCAGAGGAGCACUUUGAACUAGAUGAAUUCGAUCUGAAAUUGUGAUCAGUGCACUACUUUAAAAGCCCAUAAAAUUGCUCCAAAUGGCAAUUUUUGAAAAUUUUUAUGAUUUUUAGGCUAUUUCGAAGUAGACAAGUAUUCUGGAAGCUUUUUGGAAAUUCUUAUUUUUUGGAAAAUAUCUGAAAAAUGUGUUAAUUGUUAAUUACUCACUUGCUUGGACAAUAGCGCACAUAAUGAGAACAAUCCAUUCAUUGCUGCAUUAUAGAGAAUUAGAUUUUCUUGUACUUUGUCGAUAUACCGUGUUUGCAAGGUGACAACUGAUGGAACUAUGAUAUUUGAUAGUAGUCCAGCAGCACAAACAAUGGUUUGAAACUGAAUCAUUUUGGAAACAAACACCUAAAUUAUAUUAUUUAUUCUUGUUAUUUCAGAAAUUUUCAAAAAUACGUUGAUAGAAAUCGCGGGGUUAUGAAAAAUAGAACAAAAAAAAGAAGAAUGUGUGAUAUCGCAGAACCUCAUGGGGGAACGUCACAUACCAGUUAUUAUUAGUCAGCUGAGAGCUCGCAAAAAUGCGAAAAUAAAUUGAUUAGACGUCUUAGUGGCUGAUGGAGAAAAACCUUCAAUUUACUCAAACCCUUUGGGAGUUCACAAUACAUUUACAAGGUGUGUUGAAAACAGGGCUGUGCGGCAAGUUUGCCGAAUUUGCCGUUUGCCAAGCUCGGCAAAUUUAAAAAAUGUGGACAUAUCGAAUUUGCCGACCUCGGAAAAUUUUAAAAUUUGCCGCAUGAAAUUUUUUUUCGUGUUGUCCAAAAGUAAUGGUUUCGAUCAGAAACUUAAUGAAAGCAGGGCUCCGAUGAGGUCGCCGCAACGGCGCCCGCGCCGGCCUGACGGCGUAGCUUACGCCGCAUGUAUCCGAACGUGCAGUACGGCGCGGAACCGCGAACGUGUCGGCCGUUUCCAAAUAAACACCUUUUGCACUACGUUGCACCCACACCAAGCUACUCGUUUCACGCCUAUCUACGGAGCCCCGAACGUGUCGGCUGCCACACACAUAGCUCAUAAAAAUAAAAUUGAAACAUCAUAUUUUUCGAAGAAAAUUACUUCAGUCUGAGUGCAAUUCCUGAGAUAACCUGCUCAGCUGCCCGAUGGGAGUUAAACGUUGUCGGGGUCUAAACUAAUUUUAAUUGGGAUGACUGUUUUAAUGGCCCUUAAAGUGGACUUUGUUCUUCCGAGAUCAUGUACUGCAACAGUGCAGUAUCGUGCAUGAAAUAAUAUCUUGCAAACUAUGCCAUGAACUCCCGAACCUUGAUCUUAUCAGCACCAGAGAAAUGAAAUUUUCUCUUACAACUACGAUUGAUGUCAGUCAAUUAAGCAUUCAUAUCAGUUAUCUCACCAUUAGUCUGUCUAUGUUCACUACGGGGAGCACAGUUUCGGAAUUUUAUUGUUAAAAAUGCAAGGCAUUUAAUUUAAACAUUAGUUGUUAUGUACUUUUAGAAAAAUGUCAAAUUUGGCACGUCUGAGGCAACGUUUGGUGUAGUUGGGUAUUUUUCUCAAAUCGGCGAGCCUUUGUCUUUUAAGGAAGUGUGGUUUGUAUAUAUUUGGUAGCAAACAUCAGACAAACUUCGCUAGACUAAUUGGGGAGUACGUGUAAGAACAAUAAUCGGCAUUUGUUAGAUUUCUGACAAAAGCUAGAAGUUUGCGCAUAAAAUAUUUUUAUAGACACUCGAAAAGUAAAGCUUAAUGUGUCGUCGACAAGCCUAAUGAAGCUCAUAGGGUAGAGGUGGCACAGCAGCAGACUCCGCCCAAAAAUUUCAGCACAGCGGUAACAAAUCAAGGGGUUUUAUUAGCAGACAUUCGACACACACGAAAACGCAGAAAAAUAGUCAUAAACGAGAAGAAUAUCUGAAAAUCAUAAUUGAUGGCUAUGAGGCUAGAAGCGAUAGAUGUGUGCGUAUGGAGUUACUAGAUAAGGAUUUGAACAAUAUUGAAUUAAGAUAAUGGACUGACUAUUUUUCCUUUGAGAAUUGAGUUGCACGAGAAACUGGGGAGUUUUUUGAAAAAAAAAAACAAGUUCUACGAAAAUAUCUAAAGAAUACGAGGAAAAAUUUUAAAAAAAGCACUGUUCAAGAGAGAAAAAGUUCCUCUGAACAUUUUCGGCAAAACUGAUGUCCGGCAAACGGCGAAUCGGCAAUUUGUCAAGAAUAAAAAUUUCCGGCACAUUGGCAAACCGGCAAAUUGUUGGAAUUCUAAAUUUCUUGCAAAUCGGCAAAACAUUUGCCGAAUUCGCCGAAAUUGUCGACAAAAAAAUUGCCGUAUGGCAAUUGCGGAGGGAUUGAUAUCGUCUUUGAAAUCAGGAAAAACAUAAAACAUUCAAUUUAUUUCUUUUUGAACCAUCGUUGUAGGUUUCCUGAACCAGAAUGCAAGUACAGUGUACAUCAUGGAUCAGACAAACUUGGACGAAUUGUGACAUCAAAAGUGAACAUUGGAGAUGAAAUUUAUCACUCGUGGAAUUGUAAUUAUAGUGGCGAUCACAAAAACUACUUGUUCUGUGUGAUGGUCAAUAAUUGCACGAUUUCAGACAGCGGGGAGGAAGAAAUAGGAACAAGGAAGGUAAGAGCAGGUCGAUAACAACUCAAUAGUAGAGUAUCAUUUAAAGAUUCAAAUAAUCGACGAGAAUGGGUGUUCGGUGUUCCCAAACAUUCUACCCGAUAUAUCAUAUCAAGGAGAUUUAUCAGCUGGAAUUAAGGUUCACGCGUUCGCAUUGGAUGUGGACACGGUAAGUUAAAAGUGGAAUAGCACCAGUGGGAAUUUUGUCUACAGUUAUAAUAACCCAAAACCACCGAAUAUCAUAAUAAAACACUCAACAAAUUUUAGAUUUUCAUAAUUUCCGGUCAAAGUUUUGGCAAAUUUCCCUAUUCAAAAAAAAAAAAGAUUUUGAGGAAAUCUAAGGCAAUGUCGCAUCUUCCGACGUUCUAUAAUGUUUCAAGACGAAUAACCAAGACAAAAUUACAGUAUAAAGAAUGUAGGAAACAAAUUUUGGUCGACUUUCAAAACUAUGAGUGGCAAAUGAAAAAACUGAGUAAUUGCCACUUUUUGACAGUAAACAAAAAAUUCUUUAAAAAUUUUUGAAAAGUUUUAUUAUGGUAUUUGGUCAUUUUGCUAUAAAAUGAGUAGUUUUUAACACUCUCCCCACUGACGCUACUCUACCUUUAAGAAUCGUGUGGAAAAUAUCACUUCUAAAAUCUCAGACGGCUGUUCAUUUCACAUGCAAUAUAAAAAUGCUGUUCAAGGACCAUGAACAGUGUCAGAGGCCUCGAUGUGGAAACCAACGACGAUUUUCGAGAUAUUUAAAUUGAGAUAUGAUAUGAAUAAAACAUUUUGUCUAAUAAAAUUUUUCAAAAAGUUUCACACGCAGGAUUUAUGUACGAAAUGUUUAAUUAUUAUUGCGUGGAGGUUUUUUGUGUCAAAAUCUAUAACAACUAAUAUUCCCAAAAGACUGGAAUUAAACACCGAAAACCCUUAUUGACGCAGGUAACACCCUUGAUGACCGUUCAUUAUUUUAAGUUUCUUACCGCUUUUCAAAUAUAACACGUAAUUGGUGGGUUUAGCUUUUGUGGUAAAACUUCAGUUUCAGAAAUUGAGUGGAAAAGAAAAAAAAGAAGAUAGAUGUUCCGCAGAUUAUAGAGAUUGAAAGCUAAAAUUUACAUGACUGAAUGAUUCAUAAAUUUUUCUAUUCUAGAAAUUUCUCUGUAAUUAUCAUCCCAAGAGGGAAUAAUAAUGAUAAAAUAUUUAGUGAAGAUGUAUGAUGCAGGAGAUGAACAUAUGUAGAAAACAAUUUAUUUAUCAAAAUAUACACAAAAAACCAUCACAAAGUUAUUUUUUCCCAAAAAUUAAUAAUUAAAGUUAAUUUACUUUCUGCAGGAAGCCGAACAACUCUGCUGACAAGCUGGCUGACACUGCGAGAUUGGUUGCUGUUGCUGAAUGCAUUGGGUGUUGCAGCUUUGCUCACAUUGUGGCUGACACUGUGGGGACUGACGAGCAACUGGAACAUUGAUG
rnacentral:sRNA from 1 species